rnacentral:rRNA from 1 species
AUUGAACGCUGGCGGCAUGCUUUACACAUGCAAGUCGAACGGUAACAGGCCGCAAGGUGCUGACGAGUGGCGAACGGGUGAGUAAUGCAUCGGAACGUGCCCAGUCGUGGGGGAUAACUACUCGAAAGAGUAGCUAAUACCGCAUACGAUCUAUGGAUGAAAGCGGGGGACCGUAAGGCCUCGCGCGAUUGGAGCGGCCGAUGUCAGAUUAGGUAGUUGGUGGGGUAAAGGCUCACCAAGCCAACGAUUUGUAGCUGGUCUGAGAGGACGACCAGCCACACUGGGACUGAGACACGGCCCAGACUCCUACGGGAGGCAGCAGCGGGGAAUUUUGGACAAUGGGCGCAAGCCUGAUCCAGCAAUGCCGCGUGCAGGAAGAAGGCCUUCGGGUUGUAAACUGCUUUUGUACGGAACGAAACGGCUCUGGUUAAUACCCGGGGCUAAUGACGGUACCGUAAGAAUAAGCACCGGCUAACUACGUG